UACGUAUGGUGCAAGCGUUAUUCGGAUUUACUGGGUGUAAAGGGAGCGCAGGCGGUACGGCAAGUCUGAUGUGAAAGCCCGGGGCUCAACCCCGGUACUGCAUUGGAAACUGUCGGACUAGAGUGUCGGAGGGGUAAGUGGAAUUCCUAGUGUAGCGGUGAAAUGCGUAGAUAUUAGGAGGAACACCAGUGGCGAAGGCGGCUUACUGGACGAUUACUGACGCUGAGGCUCGAAAGCGUGGGGAGCAAACAGG
rnacentral:rRNA from 1 species